GCUGGGCGUGGUGGCGGGCGCCUGUAGUCCCAGCUACUCGGGAGGCUGAGGCAGGAGAAUUGCUUGAACCCAGGAGGCGGAGGUGGCAGUGAGCCGAGAUCACGCCACCGCACUCCAGCCUGGGUGACAGAGCAAGACUCUGCCUCAA
rnacentral:SRP_RNA from 1 species